AUGUGAAAACAAAAAAUUAUGGCGGUGUCUUAAGCUUUUCAGAGGAAUUUGCUCUAUUAUGGAUAAAACGCCAAAAUCUUACUAAAACUAGCCAAAUCAGCUUGUAUACCACUAUUAAAGUAAUAAUUCAUUAUUAUAACUAUAAUUUUUUUAUUAAAAAUAAAUUAAGUCAAGGUGCAGCAAAAGUUUUAGGAUGAAGUGAAUUACAUUCCUUUUUAGGAAAAAAAAAUGAAAUAAAUUUAUUUAGGAUUUGAAAGUAAAUUUUUAAUAAAA
rnacentral:rRNA from 1 species